rnacentral:rRNA from 1 species
UACGUAGGGUGCGAGCGUUGUCCGGAAUUAUUGGGCGUAAAGGGCGCGUAGGCGGCGUGACAAGUCACUUGUGAAAUCUCCGGGCUUAACUCGGAACGGCCAAGUGAUACUGUCGUGCUAGAGUGCAGAAGGGGCAAUCGGAAUUCUUGGUGUAGCGGUGAAAUGCGUAGAUAUCAAGAGGAACACCUGAGGUGAAGACGGGUUGCUGGGCUGACACUGACGCUGAGGCGCGAAAGCUAGGGGAGCAAACGGG